GGGGGUGUAGCUCAGAUGGUAGAGCGCGCGCUUAGCAUGCGCGAGGUACCGGGAUCGAUACCCGGCACCUCCA
rfam:Ciona savignyi cont_7287, whole genome shotgun sequence.